ensembl:lncRNA
CCAUCCUUGAACACAGGCGGUGGCCAACAACAUCAACAGUCUGCCACCUACAGUACAGUUUUGAGAUCCUGUCCCAGGCACCUUAACAUCCACUCAAAUCUUGCAUCACUUGAUCGCAUGGCAAGGUAGUUUCACAUGAAACCUUGGCUCAUGUGAUAAGGCACAUGAUCAAUAGUGCCAGGUUUUUAAUCCUAGUAGGAGGACUUACUUACAACCAGUGCAUCCCUGGUUAUGGCUAAAAACAGGAGAAGAGACGUGUUGAUAUAAAUAUUAGAUUGAAAAAAAUUUACCUAUCCUAGCUGUCAUGAAAAACAAGAAAGUGGAUGGAUGGAAAAAUGGCAUUCUGGCAUCAUCUGGACUCUUCCAUCUCAGCUGAUCAUUGAACAGCAGGCAGGUUUUUGUAUGAGUGUUUCUCACUGUGGAAGGAGGCUAUGAUUACGACAUCUUCGGCUCUGGAACUAAACUGUAUGUAACAGAUGAGCAGGUAGUGAAGCCCGUGGUGAGCGUGUACCCAGCAGCAUCCAGAGCCCACCUGGAGGGGAACAGCUCCCUGCUGUGUGUGGCCUCAGCCAUGUUUCCUCCUCUGGUCCAGUUCUCCUGGAAAAGACAGAAGAAGAACGGCGGAGAAGCGGAGGAGCUGCCCCCUGCUGAGGGAGAGCAGCUGGAGCUCAGAGAGGCGGGACGCACCAUUGCCAUCAGGAUGGUUGAUGGGAGCCAUUCUGACACAUAUAAAUACAGCUGCUGGGUGAAGCACGAGGGGGGCACAGUGGAGGCCCAAACACAACAAGAUUAUCUUCCUUCUCUUCCUUCUAUACACGAGGUGAAGCUGCUCUGCCUGCUGUACACAGUGCUGAUAGUGAAGAGUCUGGUGUACUGCUGUGGACUCUCUCUGCUGAUGAUGCUCACAAACAAGGGAGCGUCCACCAACUGCACACAUGCUGACUGCUUUCUGAUUGGCAUCUUUCACACUCAGAUUUCCCCACAUGAGCAGGCAGACAUAUAAAUUAAGUUGUGGCUGCUAAAAUCCAUCCAUCUUCUUCCUCCUAUUCGGGGCCGAGUCGCAGGGGCAGCAGCUUAAGCAGAGAAGCCCAGACCUCCCUCUCUCCAGUCACCUCCUCCAGCUUGUCCGGAGGAACACCAAGGCGUUCCCAGGCCAGCCGAAAGAGAUAAUCUCUCCAACGUAUCCUGGGUCAUGCCCCGGGACCACCUCCCGCUGGGACAUGCCUGGUGGUUUGGAGAAAUGUUUAUCAUUUAUACCCUUCUUAAAUAUAACCACCUGAAAGUAUAAAAUAGAUAUGCAAAUAUUAAAACAGUCGUUUUUUUAAAGUGUAAAUGUUUCAUAUGGAGUCUUCUUUCUUUUGUAUAAGGUUUUGUUUUUUUUCUCAGUCAGGUAUGCAAACUAUCAAAACCCUGCAGAAAGACGGGGAACAUACGUGUGCUAUGAUCAUUAUAGUAAAGAGCUGCUUGGUUUUUUUUAAGGAAUGUAUAUUUUUCUUCUUGACUGAUAACACAAGAGGAAAGGUUUUUUUCUUUACAUGACAUUUGUUGCACUUUGUAUAUAACGAGAAGGUGGCUUGUUCCCUUUUCCACCAAUCCAAAUGCAAUGUUUUUUGGUAAUUUAAAAUAUAAUAUAGAAUUACCAAUUAUCAUUGAAGGUGUACCAAUUGAUAAUGUGAGUGAAAACAAAUUUUUGGGAGUUAUAAUUGAUAACAAAAUUUCAUGGAAACCCCACGUCAGACACAUAAAAACCAAAAUUUCCAGAAGCCUCGCAGUUUUGAACAAAGUGAAACAAUUCCUUGAUAAAGAUGCACUUCGUACUCUGUACUGUACCCUGGUUCUUCCAUAUCUUACAUAUUGUGUGGAAGUGUGGGGAAACACAUAUAAAAAUACAACUAAUCCAUUAGUCACAGUACAGAAACGAGCACUGCGUAUUAUUCACAGGCUGGUUAUCUAGAUCAUACUCACAAAUUCUUUCUUCAGGCAAAGUUACUUAAAUUCCAGGAUCUGGUUAAUUACAAUAUAUCCAUAAUUUUGUAUAAAGCUUUUACUAAACUUUUACCGGCAAAUUUACAAACUAGAUUUGAAAUUCGAGAAAAGGUUUAUAAUGUGAGAGGCUUUGGAGAAUUCAAAUUACCCAGAACUCGAACAACCCGUAAAGGUUUUUGUGUGUCUGUAUGUGGUGUGAAAAUCUGGAACAGUCUGAGUUUACAAUUGAAACAAUGCAAAAAUAUUCAUAGAUUUAAAUUUCUCUACAAACAGUUGGUCUGGUCACAGUAUACUCAGUGAUGCUUUUAGUGUGCUCUGUAAUGUCUGUCCUCUUACCAUUGCUGGUAUGGAUUCCAAAAUAAAAAAUAAAAAAUAAAGUGUGCGUAUGUAUGUACAUAUAUGUACUUGUGUGUGUAGAUAUAUAUGUAUGUAUAUGUAUGUGUGUCUGUUACUUGUAGUUAUUACUGCCUGUUACCUGUGGUAAUGCAAUUUAUAAUUUAUAUAUUCUGUAUUCAGUUAUGAAGGCUCUAAUUGUUGGUUGCGAGCUGCCGCUUAGAUGCUUGUAUCUGCCCGGGGCUGUUGAUGGGUCUGUUUGCAAUGAUGGGCGUAGCUGCGGGAAGUUUAUUGUUUUUUUUUUGUUGAUGAGUGAGUAUAGGGGUGGGAUUUAAUAAGUUUUCUUCAUCCCACUCCUUUUUCAGGCAAGUUUUGUUUUUUGUUUUGUGUAUUUUAUGUUCAAUAUAGGUAUUUGUUGUGCCUGAAAAUGAAUAAAUAAAUGAAAUGAAAAAAAUGAAAUGAAAGAUAUAUUCUUUCUCAGUUCUGGGUCCUUGUAUAGUGAAUAUGUGAGUUUUAUUCUUACAAUCACAAACUCGUUCUGUACAGAUUCAGCACAGGUUUAAAAAAACAUCAUCUAGCGCUUGGAGAAAAUAAUGACGUUUUCAGUGAGCAGAGCAGUCCAGCACAUCUGUGUUUGAACCAGUUAUUCAGUUUCGGGUUUCAAACAUUCAAAAUCUUUUCCUCUUUAAACGUUACAGAAAAAGUAAUGGUGCCUCUUGGCUUCACUCCAGGAUCAUGCAGCUGUGCCAUUCAUGUGGGUUGAUGCUUGAAACCUACCGUAACAGUGUAGUUGUUUUAUGUAAAAAUAAAGACUUGAUUCUGAUGAA